CUUUUGCUGGCGGCCGGCGCACGGUGAGUAACACGUAUCCAACCUGCCCUUUACUCGGGGAUAGCCUUUCGAAAGAAAGAUUAAUACCCGAUAGCAUAAUGAUUCCGCAUGGUUUCAUUAUUAAAGGAUUCCGUAAAGGAUGGGGAUGCGUUCCAUUAGGUUGUUGGUGAGGUAACGGCUCACCAAGCCUUCGAUGGAUAGGGGUUCUGAGAGGAAGGUCCCCCACAUUGGAACUGAGACACGGUCCAA
rnacentral:rRNA from 1 species